UACGUAGGGUGCGAGCGUUUGUCCGGAAUUAUUGGGCGUAAAGGGCUCGUAGGCGGUUUGUCGCGUCGGGAGUGAAAUCCACUGGCUUAACUGGCGGCUUGCUUUCGAUACGGGCAGACUGGAGGUAUGCAGGGGAGAACGGAAUUCCUGGUGUAGCGGUGAAAUUCGUAGAUAUCGGGAGGAACACCGGUGGCGAAGGCGGCGAUCUGGGGUCGAUACUGACGCUGAGGUGCGAAAGCGUGGGGAGCAAACAGG
rnacentral:rRNA from 1 species